AAUUCUGGUCCCUACCUGCUCUGCGUCUUCUGUUGUUGCUUCGAAAGUAUGCUGUGUUUUGAAGUUUUCACCUGUAUCCUGCACAUAAACUGCACUGACUGCAGAGCUUGGAUUGGUUUCUCCUUGGAAAGUUAUUCCUACGACGAAUGCCCAGCAGUCUUGUUUCCAUUUGCACUUUGGAAGGAUUCAAUAUGCUAAUUAUGCAGGUAUGUCGCAGUAUUACACCGUGAAAGACAAUACUGGUGUUUAUUGAUGAGAAAAUCCAUUAAAAUGGCACAAUAUCCCAGCCUCAUUCUGUUACAUCACAGUUUUUUACACAGGAUAAGUACUUCAG